rnacentral:tRNA from 1 species
GCCGGGGUAGCUUAGCCUGGUUAUAGCGCCAGACCUCCUACAAAAGGGGCAAGACUCAUAAUCUGGAGGUCGCGGGCUCGAAUCCCGCCCCCGGCA